GAAAAGUAAUUAAGAAAACACAAUUUGUUCUGAGGGGUCAACAAAAGUGGGGUGAUUUCCCUCUCUGGAUGGAGGAGAUGAAAAGCAAACUUCACCAAAAAUCCCUUUUCAUCCACUCCCCAUCUCUCAUCUGCGCAUUUUCAGGACGUUCCUUCAUAUUAAUAGCGUCCGAGGAGUCUACGUACUUUUCAAAAAGGGCGGACGGUUGGUUCUCGAAAAUACUCGAUGGCUGACCUUUUAGUAGAAGGGAAAAGAUUUUCGAAGAUGUGAAAUCUUUAGAAAGAAAGAAAUCAUCGGCUCUUCGAAGAUAAGUUUUCUUCUUCUCCUUUACUUUACAUACAUCACAUAUUGUACUUCUAGGUGACUCUUGUGUAUAACUAUAGCCUUUCGAUGGUUAUUAGCAAUGGAAGGACUCGUCCUUAAUAGUUAGCAGGGUUGGCUCUACCCAUACCCUUGUUAAAAUGAAAGACAAAUCAAACUUUAAGCACAUUGAGGUCUCCAUUUCCUUCCUUCGAAUAAUUGAUGUUUCAUGAGAUUGAACCAUUAUGUUACUUUUUUAUGCCUAUCGUUUUCUUGCUUCAAUUAUAUACAUGGAUAGAUUAACUCA